GGCCUGGUGGUGGAACGGUUAACACGCCUGCUAUUCGUAUUGAAAUGAUAAAAUAAGUUUCAGCAGGAGACUCCUUGUUCGAAUCAAGGCCAAGCCG